UGACAGUCUUCGGCAGCAUGGUUGAAUCAGGUGCAUCAACACAUGAUGUAGACAUCGUAUCCAAAAGAAGAGCGAGACGUAAUCCUGAGGCUGAAGCCACCGAGUUUAUUUGAUCUGGAUGUGACAAGUCUUGUUUUAAGGCCCAGUGGAUCAAUGAUUGGAAAGACACCAACUGUUGAUGUUCUAUCUCAACAUUCUCCAGAUUCAUGUGAGCGAUAAACCGACUUCAUCCCUCCAACAGACACCAACUGUUGGGGUUCUAUCUCAACAUUCUCCAGAUUCAGAUGUGAGCGAUAAACCGACUUCAUCCCUCCAACAGAAACCAACUGUUGAGGUUCCAUCUCAACAUUCUCCAGAUUCAGAUGUGAGCCAUUAACUGACUUCAUCCCUCCAACAGAAACCAACUGUUGAGGUUCUAUCUCAACAUUCUCUAGAUUCAGAUGACAGCCAUAAACCGACUUCAUCCCUCCAACAGAUUGACAGCAGGACAAAUCGCUGGAAGUGGGUAUGUCUCAAGCUUCUUCCACUUGGUCCACUCCAAAGCGGGGUGCAAAGGGGAAGAAGUGGAAGCAGUUGAAUGACACAUGUUGCAUUUUGUAACUGGCAACAAAGUACCAGGUAAAAAAGAUUGUGAAGCCUGCCUCCAUAAAGAACUAGUAGCUCUACAGGACAGAGAUUGGCUUGCCAUCAAGUACUACAUCCAUAACAGAAUUAUAUUAAAAAAAGGGAAAAAAAUGUUUUCCCACAUCUUCUGUGGUAGUUUGAGUAUGUUACCAGCAAUUAAAAAAGCAAAAUAAACAGCAAGCGUUUUGUAUUUAUUCCAGAUAAUUCUUAGCGACAAAAUCCACAAAAACAAUUCAGUUACACUUAGUCGACAAUUACAUUUUUACCCAUGUUUCUUUUAAACUCUUCUUGGUUUUAGAUUACAGUAGCAUGGGAUUGGGAUUUUUUUUUUAAAUGACAACACAUCAACUAAACCAACUCAGGUGGUUUUGUUAAGUCUCUGAUGUCAUUAGCCUCAUAUGUCACAUGAACCUGAAAUCUUAAACACUCUGUGACGUCAUGGUCAUCAUAU